rnacentral:rRNA from 1 species
CCUACGGGGGGCAGCAGUGGGGAAUAUUGCACAAUGGGGGAAACCCUGAUGCAGCGACGCCGCGUGAGUGAAGAAGUAUUUCGGUACGUAAAGCUCUAUCAGCAGGGAAGAAAAUGACGGUACCUGACUAAGAAGCCCCGGCUAACUACGUGCCAGCAGCCGCGGUAAUACGUAGGGGGCAAGCGUUAUCCGGAUUUACUGGUUGUAAAGGGAGCGUAGACGGCAGCGCAAGUCUGGAGUGAAAUCCCAUGGCUUAACCAUGGAACUGCUUUGGAAACUGUGCAGCUAGAGUGCAGGAGAGGUAAGCGGAAUUCCUAGUGUAGCGGUGAAAUGCGUAGAUAUUAGGAGGAACACCAGUGGCGAAGGCGGCUUACUGGACUGUAACUGACGUUGAGGCUCGAAAGCGUGGGGAGCAAACAGGAUUAGAUACCCGAGUAGUC